GACAGAGGGUGCAAACGUUGUUCGGAAUUACUGGGCGUAAAGCGCGUGUAGGCGGCUAUGCAAGUCGGAUGUGAAAGCCCUCGGCUCAACCGGGGAAGUGCACCCGAAACUGCAAAGCUAGAGUCUCGGAGAGGAUCGUGGAAUUCUCGGUGUAGAGGUGAAAUUCGUAGAUAUUGGGAAGAACACCCGGUGGCGAAGGCGG
rnacentral:rRNA from 1 species